AUUGAACGCUGGCGGCAGGCCUAACACAUGCAAGUCGAACGAGUGGCGGACGGGUGAGUAAUGUCUGGGAAACUGCCCGAUGGAGGGGGGUAACUACUGGAAACGGUAGCUAAUACCGCAUACCAUCGGAUGUGCCCAGGUGGGAUUAGCUAGUAGGUGGGGUAACGGCUACCCUAGGCGAGACUCCCUAGCGGGUCUGAGAGGAUGACCAGCCACACUGGACUGGAGACACGGUCCAGACUCCUACGUGAGGCAGCAGUGGGGAAUAUCGCACAAUGGGCGCAAGCCUGAUACAGCCAUGCCGCGUGUAUGAAGAAGGCCUUCGGGUUGUAAAGUACUUUCAGCGAGGAGGCGUUACUCGCAGAAGAAGCACCGGCUAACUCCGUGCCAGCAGCCGCGGUAAUUC
rnacentral:rRNA from 1 species